rnacentral:rRNA from 1 species
ACGGCUCAGUAACACGUGGUCAACCUACCCUCGGGACCCGGAUAACCCCGGGAAACUGGGGCUAAUCCGGGGCGGGCAAGGGGAUCUGGAACGACCCCUUGCCGAAAGGCUCUUGGGCUGAUACCGCUCAAGAGUGCCCGAGGAUGGGACUGCGGCCCAUCAGGCUGUUGGUGGGGUAACGGCCCGCCAAGCCGAAGACGGGUGGGGGCCGUGAGAGCGGGAGCCCCGAGAUGGGCACUGAGACAAGGGCCCAGGCCCUACGGGGUGCAGCAGGCGCGAAAACUCCGCAAUGCGGGAAACCGUGACGGGGCCACCCCGAGUGCCGUCCGAUGAGGGCGGCUUUUCUCCGGUGUAGAAAGCCGGGGGAAUAAGCGGGGGGCAAGUCUGGUGUCAGCCGCCGCGGUAAUACCAGCUCCGCGAGUGGUCGGGGUGAUUACUGGGCCUAAAGCGCCCGUAGCCGGCCCGGUAAGCCUUGCUCUGAAAUCCCCAAGCUCAACUUGGGGGCGGGGGAAGGUACUGCCGGGCUUGGGGGCGGGAGAGGCCGAGGGUACUCCUGGGGUAGGGGCGAAAUCCGAUAAUCCCAGAGUGACGACCAGUGGCGAAAGCGCCCGGCUAGAACGUGUCCGACAGUGAGGGACGAAAGCUGGGGUAGCAAACCGGAUUAGAUACCCGGGUAGUCCCAGCCGUAAACUAUGCGGGCUAGUUGUCGGAACGGCUUAGGGCCGUUUCGGUAACGCAGGGAAGCCGUUAAGCCCGCCGCCUGGGGAGUACGACCGCAAGGUUGAAACUUAAAGGAAUUGGCGGGGGAG